rnacentral:rRNA from 1 species
AGAGUUUGAUUCUGGCUCAGGAUGAACGCUAGCUACAGGCUUAACACAUGCAAGUCGAGGGGCAGCAUUGGAGUAGCAAUACUUCAGAUGGCGACCGGCGCACGGGUGAGUAACACGUAUCCAACCUGCCGCUUACUCGGGGAUAGCCUUUCGAAAGAAAGAUUAAUACCCGAUGGUAUAAAGAGUUCGCAUGUUCUCUUUAUUAAAGAAUUUCGGUAAGCGAUGGGGAUGCGUUCCAUUAGAUUGUUGGCGGGGUAACGGCCCACCAAGUCUACGAUGGAUAGGGGUUCUGAGAGGAAGGUCCCCCACAUUGGAACUGAGACACGGUCCAAACUCCUACGGGAGGCAGCAGUGAGGAAUAUUGGUCAAUGGACGAGAGUCUGAACCAGCCAAGUAGCGUGAAGGAUGACUGCCCUAUGGGUUGUAAACUUCUUUUAUAAGGGAAUAAAGUGAGGGACGUGUCCCUUUUUGUAUGUACCUUAUGAAUAAGGAUCGGCUAACUCCGUGCCAGCAGCUGC